rnacentral:rRNA from 1 species
AUUGCCCUAGUAACGGCGAGUGAAGCGGCAACAGCUCAAAUUUGAAAUCUGGCCCUCGGGUCCGAGUUGUAAUUUGUAGAGGAUGCUUUUGGUGAGGUACCUUCCGAGUUCCCUGGAACGGGACGCCAUAGAGGGUGAGAGCCCCGUCUGGUUGGAUACCGAUCCUCUGUAAAGCUCCUUCGACGAGUCGAGUAGUUUGGGAAUGCUGCUCUAAAUGGGAGGUAUAUGUCUUCUAAAGCUAAAUAUUGGCCAGAGACCGAUAGCGCACAAGUAGAGUGAUCGAAAGAUGAAAAGCACUUUGAAAAGAGAGUUAAAAAGUACGUGAAAUUGUUGAAAGGGAAGCGCUCAUGACCAGACUUGGGCUUGGUUGAUCAUCCAGGGUUCUCCCUGGUGCACUCUUCCAGCUCAGGCCAGCAUCAGUUCGCCGCGGGGGAUAAAGGCUUUGGGAAUGUGGCUCCUCCGGGAGUGUUAUAGCCCACUGCGUAAUACCCUGUAGUGGACUGAGGUUCGCGCAUCUGCAAGGAUGCUGGCGUAAUGGUCAUCAGCGACCCGUCUUGAAACACGGACCAAGGAGUCGUCUUCGUAUGCGAGUGUUCGGGUGUUAAACCCCUACGCGUAAUGAAAGUGAACGCAGGUGAGAGCUUCGGCGCAUCAUCGACCGAUCCUGAUGUUCUCGGAUGGAUUUGAGUAAGAGCAUACGGGGCCGGACCCGAAAGAAGGUGAACUAUGCCUGUAUAGGGUGAAGCCAGAGGAAACUCUGGUGGAGGCUCGCAGCGGUUCUGACGUGCAAAUCGAUCGUCAAAUAUGGGCAUGGGGGCGAAAGACUAAU